rnacentral:SRP_RNA from 2 species
GCUGGGCGUGGUGGCGUGCGCCUGUAGUCCCAGCUACUUGGGAGGCUGAGGCAGGAGAAUUGCUUGAACCCAGGAGGCGGAGAUUGCAGUGAGCUGAGAUCUCGCCACUGCACUCCAGCCUGGGCAACAGAGCAAUACUCUGUCUCAA